AAUAUUGCGCAAUGGAGGGAACUCUGACGCAGCGACGCCGCGUUAGCGAUGAAGGUCUUCGGAUCGUAAAGCUCUGUCCUUGGGGAAGAAGGGUGCCUUAUAGCAUCUUGACGGUACUCGAUGAGGAAGCCCCGGUUAACUCCGUGCCACCAGCCGAGGUAACACGUAGGGCGCAAGCGUUGUCCGGAAUUAUUGGGCGUAAAGUGUGCGUAGGCGGCCUUUUAAGUCAGGUGUGAAAGCCCACGGCUUAACCGUGGGAUUGCAUUUGAAACUGGAAGGCUUGAGUAUCGGAGAGGGUAGUGGAAUUCCCAGUGUAGCGGUGAAAUGCGUAGAUAUUGGGAGGAACACCAGUGGCGAAGGCGACUACCUGGACGAAAACUGACGCUGAUGCACGAAAGCUAGGGGAGCAAACA
rnacentral:rRNA from 1 species